GAGUUUGAUCAUGGCUCAGAACGUACGCUGGCGGCACGCCUAACACAUGCAAGUCGAACGAAGUAGCAAUACUUAGUGGCAGACGGGUGAGUAACAUGUAGGUAUCUACCCUUUGGCCUGGAAUAACACGAGGAAACUUGUGCUAAUACCGGAUAAGUCUUUACGGAGAAAGCUUUAUGCAUCAUUGGAUGAGCCUGCACUUGAUUAGUUUGUUGGUGGGGUAAUGGCCUACCAAGACUGUGAUCAAUAGCUGAUUUGAGAGGAUGAUCAGCCACAUUGGGACUGAGACACGGCCCAAACUCCUACGGGAGGCAGCAGUGGGGAAUCUUGCACAAUGGAGGAAACUCUGAUGCAGCGAUGCCGCGUGAGUGAAGAAGGCCCUUGGGUUGUAAAGCUCUUUCGUCGGGGAAGAAAAUGACUGUACCCGAAUAAGAAGGUCCGGCUAACUUCGUGCCAGCAGCCGCGGUAAUACGAAGGGACCUAGCGUAGUUCGGAAUUACUGGGCUUAAAGAGUUCGUAGGUGGUUGAAAAAGUUAGUGGUGAAAUCCCAGAGCUUAACUCUGGAACUGCCAUUAAAACUUUUCAGCUAGAGUAUGAUAGAGGAAAGCAGAAUUUCUAGUGUAGAGGUGAAAUUCGUAGAUAUUAGAAAGAAUACCAAUUGCGAAGGCAGCUUUCUGGAUCAUUACUGACACUGAGGAACGAAAGCAUGGGUAGCGAAGAGGAUUAGAUACCCUCGUAGUCCAUGCCGUAAACGAUGUGUGUUAGACGUUGGAAAUUUAUUUUCAGUGUCGCAGGGAAACCGAUAAACACACCGCCUGGGGAGUACGACCGCAAGGUUAAAACUCAAAUGAAUUGACGGGGACCCGCACAAGUAGUGGAGCAUGUGGUUUAAUUCGAAGAUACGCGCAGAACCUUACCAACACUUGACAUGUUCGUCGCGACUUUAAGAGAUUAGAGUUUUCGGUUCGGCCGGACGAAACACAGGUGCUGCAUGGCUGUCGUCAGCUCGUGUCGUGAGAUGUUGGGUUAAGUCCCGCAACGAGCGCAACCCUCACUUUUAGUUGCCAUCAUUAAGUUGGGCACUCUGAAAGAACUGCCAGUGAUAAGCUGGAGGAAGGUGGGGAUGACGUCAAGUCCUCAUGGCCCUUACGUGUUGGGCUACACACGUGCUACAAUGGUAUCUACAACAGGAAGCAAGACUGCGAAGUUAAGCAAAUCCCUAAAAGAUACCUCAGUUCGGAUUGCACUCUGCAACUCGAGUGCAUGAAGCUGGAAUUACUAGUAAUCGUGGAUCAGCGUGCCACGGUGAAUGCGUUCCCGGGUCUUGUACACACCGCCCGUCACACCAUGGGAGUUGGUUCUACCUUAAGGCAAGGUUUCAAACCCUUGACCACGGUAUAGUCAGCGACUGGGGUGAAGUCGUAACAAGGUAACC
rnacentral:rRNA from 1 species